UAUUGCGCAAUGGGGGAAACCCUGACGCAGCAACGCCGCGUGAGUGAAGAAGUAUCUCGGUAUGUAAAGCUCUAUCAGCGGGGAAGAAGGAAGACGGUACCCGACUAAGAAGCCCCGGCUAACUACGUGUCAGCAGCCGCGGUAAUACGUAGGGGGCGAGCGUUAUCCGGAUUUACUGGGUGUAAAGGGAGCGUAGACGGCGUCGCAAGUCUGAAGUGAAAGCCCGUGGCUCAACCGCGGAACCGCUUUGGAAACUGCGAGGCUGGAGUGCUGGAGAGGUAAGCGGAAUUCCUAGUGUAGCGGUGAAAUGCGUAGAUAUUAGGAGGAACACCAGUGGCGAAGGCGGCUUACUGGACAGUAACUGACGUUGAGGCUCGAAAGCGUGGGGAGCAAACAGG
rnacentral:rRNA from 1 species